AUUGAACGCUGGCGGCAGGCCUAACACAUGCAAGUCGAGCGAGCGGCGGACGGGUGAGUAAUGUCUGGGAAAAUGUCUGAUGGAGGGGGAUAACUACUGGAAACGGUAGCUCAUACCGCAUACCAUCAGAUCUGCCCAGAUGGGAUUAGCUAGUAGGUGGGGUAACGGCUCACCUAGACGACGAUCCCUAGCUGGUCUGAGAGGAGGACCAGCCACACUGGAACUGAGACACGGUCCAGACUCCUACGGGAGGCAGCAGUGGGGAAUAUUGCACAAUGGGCGCAAGCCUGAUGCAGCCAUGCCGCGUGUGUGAAGAAGGCCUUCGGGUUGUAAAGCACUUUCAGCGGGGAGGCGUUACCCGCAGAAGAAGCACCGGCUAACUCCGUGCCAGCAGCCGCGGUAAUAC
rnacentral:rRNA from 1 species